AUGGUUACCACUCAAGUAGAACAAGUACUUAAAGCUCAGAAUGAUUUGCUCAAUGAAUUAAAUAGUAAGAAUAAUAACUAUGCUGUUAGAGUGGCUACUAGAACUGGUAAAAUGACUCAGGAACCUUUAUAUCCUGAAGGCCACCCUAAGAGAAUUGAGCAGGAUUCUCAGAGAAAUAAUAUUGAUGCACCUAGUCCUUCUAAAAAGAAGAAAAAGAAAAAUGAUAGGACUUUGCAUGCUUCUAGUGAACCUGUUGUAGACACACCUGAGAAUCCCAAUGAUAUUUCUAUUUAUGAUGCUGAAACACAAUCUGGUAAUGAACAUGAACCUAGUGAUAAUGUUAAUGAUGAUGUUCAUGUUGAUGCUUAA
rnacentral:rRNA from 1 species